GUGCUCGCUUCGGCAACACAUAUACUACAAUUGGAGUGACACAGAGAAGAUUAGCAUGGCCCGUGUGCAAGGCUGAAAUGCAAAUUCGUGAAACGUUCCGUAUCCUU
rnacentral:snRNA from 1 species